UAGCAGAGCCUAUGUAUUCUAUCUUCUUUGC
rnacentral:piRNA from 1 species